AGAACGAACGCUGGCGGCGUGGAUAAGACAUGCAAGUCGAGCGGGACAAUCAGGGUAGCAAUAUUCUGAUUGUUCAGCGGCGCAAGGGUGCGUAACACGUGGGUAAUUUGCCAUGAAGUCUGGAAUAACUUGCUGAAAGGCGAGCUAAUACCGGAUGUGACCUUUGGGAGGCAUCUCCUGAAAUUCAAAGUUGGGGACCGCAAGGCCUGACGCUUCUUGAUAAGCCCGCGGUCUAUCAGCUAGUUGGUGAGGUAACGGCUCACCAAGGCUAAGACGGAUAGCUGGUCUGAGAGGACGACCAGCCACACUGGAACUGAGACACGGUCCAGACACCUACGGGUGCAGCAGUCGAGAAUUUUCACAAUGGGCGAAAGCCUGAUGGAGCGACGCCGCGUGGGGAUGAAUGGCUUCGGCCCGUAACCCUGUCAUUUGCGAACAACCUUACCGGUUAACAACCGGUGAGCUGAUUGUAGCGGAAGAGGAAGGGACGGCUAACG
rnacentral:rRNA from 1 species